rnacentral:ncRNA from 1 species
ACUCGACAAAGGCAAACCACGCGAAAGCGUGGGACGCAAAGCCACUGACCUAACGCUUCUGAUGGUAGGACGCCAAGGCAGCAGGGCUGCCGAA